rnacentral:rRNA from 1 species
UCUUGGGCGUAAAGCGCUCGUAGGCGGUCUGUUAGGUCGGGAGUUAAAUUCGGGGGCUCAACCCCCGUUCGCUCCCGAUACCGGCAGACUUGAGUUUGGUAGGGGAAGGUGGAAUUCCUAGUGUAGCGGUGGAAUGCGCAGAUAUUAGGAAGAACACCAGUGGCGAAGGCGGCCUUCUGGGCCAUAACUGACGCUGAGGAGCGAAAGCUAGGGGAGCAAGCAGGAUUAGAUACCCUGGUAGUCCUAGCCGUAAACGAUGGACACUAGGUGUGGGGGAAUAUUUCUUCCGUGCCGCAGCUAACGCAUUAAGUGUCCCGCCUGGGGAGUACGGCCGCAAGGCUAAAACUCAAAGGAAUUGACGGGGGCCCGCACAGGCGGYGGAGCAUGUGGUUUAAUUCGAAGCAACGCGAAGAACCUUACCAGGUCUUGACAU